CAGUAGUCGUGGUGAGCGCGUCCAACCACCAUGACGACCUCAAACCUCCUCUUCAUUCUCGCCUUCGUGACAGGUGGUCUGGCAGCCCCCUGGGGAGCGGACUUGCCAAGAUGCUCCACCGAAUGCCCCAUCACCGGAUCCCCCAAACUGGCCUACCAACCCGACAAGACCUACGCCUACGCCUACUCACUCCGGCAAGUCCAGUGUCCAUCAACUUAAGGGCGUGGACAAACGGCGCCUGCUGAGAUCGAGUGGAACUGCAGGAGUUGAUCUCACCUGGAUCAGCCCUUGCGACAUGGCCAUCUCCUUCAGGAACACCAAGAUGGAUGGCGCCCGAGGUCCCAUCGCUGCCAGUACACUGGAGAGACAUCCACUGGUGGUGGCCGUUGUCGACGGGAGGGUGCAGCACGUGUGCGCUCACCCAGAGGACGAACCAUGGGCCAUCAACCUGAAAAAGGGCGUUGCUUCAGCUUUCCAGAACUCCAUCCCUUCUCUGUCUGCUGUCAGCUCAGGCAUCACAGUAACUGAGACCGAUGUUGUCGGAAAGUGCCCGACAAAGUAUGAAAUUGAGACCGAAGGAGAGAAAGUCAUUGUGGUCAAGGAGAAGAACCACCGCCACUGUCAAAGACUUUGACGCCAACACCUGCUGAAACACCUGCACCAUGGCUGAAGGCUCCCCUGCCAAUCGAGGAAUCCAAGUCGCAGUGCAGGCAGGAAAUCGCCAAUGGCAUUUACACCGCCAUUACGUGUCAGGACAAGAACAUCGUUCGACCUGCCAUUGGAAUCUACAAGUACGUGGAGGCCAGUCAGGAUUCAACACUUCGCUUCAUCUCCGAGUCCUCCGACACUUCAGCCAAUCAGUGGCAUCCAUUCCGGGAGUGCACAAUUGAAAGCUGUUGUAACAACCAUUGAAACAUGAGGACCCACAGCUAGCACCCGAGCUGGAUGAGCUCAUGAAGGGAAUCUGUGCCAAGACCAGGACAACAGUUGGGCCUGAAGCUGCUGCAUUGGUUGCUAAGGCUCUCCUGUUUUUACGUUCGCGUUCCCUGAGACAGUUUGUGGAGACUGCCCGACAGUGAGACAGGACAUUACUGCAUUUACCUCUGCCAGGCUGGAGAUCAUCUUCUUGGACGCAGUUUCUUUCCUCCCACGAGUCUUGUGCAGGUAAGGUCAUGGUCCACCGGACAUCGGAGAAUGUUGACGAGCAACAGGGGGACGGCUCGCUCUGUACACGGCAGAGCUCUACCUCACCUCCACGCCCAACAUUGAUCGUCAAGGCCCUCCCGCCCACUGUUUGAAAGCCCUCCACCAAUGCCCCAUUGCUGCUGGCAGGCUGCUUCCCAUGGAAACAACUCUCCGCCAUACUCCAGCUGUUUAUGAAAAGCUCAGAUUGCAUCAAGAAUUGCCGAGAUUCUGCCACUAGAUCCCAAAUUCCACUGUUUCUCCUUCUGCUGGUGCUGAGGACAGGAAUAGCCUUGCAAUUUCAAGGCAAAUAGGGAUAGGGUGUAUCUAGCACUGACUUCAACCAGGGCAGCCGUUCAGUGCAUUGAGGAAGAAGGACUGGAAAUCGGCGUUCGGGUAGCUGCAGCACAAGCCUUCAGACAAGCCAACUGCUUCCGUCCAGCAGUUGAGAAGCUAGUUGACAUUGCCGUCCGACCAGCCUUUGAGACCGAAGUUCGCAUCACUUCCUAUCUGGCUGCUAUUCGAUGUGCUGAACAGGAACACCUGGAAACAAUUAUUGAAAAAAUUUCAAAGGAAGAGAAUACCCAAGUGCGCGGAUUUGUUUUGGGUCACCUGAUCAACAUCCAAGAGUCUACCUGCCCUGCCAAAGAAAAUCUCAGGUACCUCCUUGCCAACGUCGUCAUCCCUACCGACUUCGAGAGGGACUUCAGGAAAUUCUCUCGAAAUAUAGAUGUGGCUUACCAUGCCCCUGCCUUUGGCAUGGGUGCCGGCCUCGAAUCGAACAUCAUCUAUGCUCCUGGAUCUUUCAUUCCUCGUGCUGUUAACCUGAAAAUGAAAGCAGAUAUGGAUGAGAUGCACAUGGACAUAGCAGAGAUUGGUGCGCGCUUUGAAGGAAUUGAUUCCAUCAUUGAAGAACUCCUGGGCCCACAGGGAUACCUACGCAGAGCAACAUUUGGCAAGAUUAUGGAGGACAUUACAGGUUUUGCAGGAGAGAAAGGCCUCAAGGUCAUGGAGCACAUCAAGCACACUCUUAGGAACAGGUUGGCUUUCACGAUUCUAUCAGUCAUUCGGACUUCUUGGAAACUGUUGUGAGGGCAAGAUCACAUGUCCACGCCGAUCUAUUCGCCCGAUUCAUGGGACACGAGAUUACUUACGCAGAUGUUGCCGAAAGCCUCAAAGGUGUCACAGCUGACACACUCAUUGAGACCUUCUUCUCUCUCUUUGAGAAUUCUUUGGAGCAUAUGAAGGAUCUAAACCUGAACACAGCAAGAACUGCUCAGCUUUCCAUGGAUUAUUCACUGCCGACCAUUCAGGGCACACCACUCAGACUGAAAUUAGCUGGAACUGCUGUUGCUGGCGUGAAGAUGGAAGGCAACGAUCAACAUGGCCAAUCCUCUCCGACACCUCGGGGCAUUGCCCAGACCAGUCAUUUAAAUUCUCCGCAGCCUUUCUGUAAAGCCACUGGUUUGGUUGGCUUUGCAAUGCGUGCGGCUUUACCAGGGUGGGAUCGGAGAGCAGAAACAACCAUCUCUCUAGUGCCACUGGAGCUGCCAUCAAAAUCAGAACAACUGAAAACAAGAAGAUCGAGAUGGAACUGGAGAUCCCUGAGAGGAUGGAGCUACUCAACAUCAAGGCCGAGACUUACCUUGUCAAAGCUGUGGGAGAGAAGAUAACUAAGAUUUCUCCUUCCUCCAUGAGAGAUGUCAGGAUUCAGCACAACUCCUGCAUUGGUGCUUUGGAACCAGUAUUUGGCCUCAAGGUGUGCUAUGACAUGAACAUUCCUGAUGUCUUCCGUGCUAAUGCCCUGCCACUUGGUGAACCAGCCAUCGCCAAGCUGUAUGUUGAGAAGGCAGAUCCUUCCAUGAGAGGUUACUUAGUGACCGCUGCCAUCAAGAACAAGAGAGGUAACAAGGUCAUUAAGAUGAAUGUAGAAGCAGCUGGUGCCUCAACACCAAGAAGAGCAGAAAUGACCCUUUCGUACACCAAGGAAGAAGGAAACCACAUUGUUUCUGCCAAACUUGAUUCCUCCAGCAUUGCUGCAGGAGUGUGGACCACUCUUACCAACGAGCAAGGACACAAGGCAGUAGAGACUUAUGUCAACUUCAAUUAUGGUCAGAUUGCUAUUUCUCGUGGCAUUAAGCUGGAUGUGAUUGCAAGGGAAGGAAGUGUGGGAGAAGAGUUCCAAGUUAAUGCGUUCAGCAGUGGCACCAGGAGUUUCCCCUCUGAAUCACACAUUGUGGAGGUUUAAUUCAUCAAGAAACUAGUGGUUACCUGAAUUCACAAUGUGGGAUGUAUUGGCAGACCAAAAAAUGCUCCUACCAGAGUUUUCGACUUAGAUAUUGAAGUUGGAGCCGAUUUCAUGAAAUUUUCUCCUAGGGAUCUGUAUCCUACAAGAUAUAUCCCCAAGACCCGAAUUAUCCUACCCAUAAACCUGCGAAAGAUGGAAAUCAAUGCUGCCACUGCAGCCUGGAGACUGACAUCGUACAUUCGUGCAGGAAGUCAAUCUGGCGAAAGCCAUGAGUUCAUUUCUGCUCUCAAGCUUGCCAAAGGAAGGAAGGCUAUCAUCUCUGUACAGGCUACUCAUACUAUAGAAGGAAGAUUCCCACAAAACAUCAUCAUCAAAAAUGUAGCAACAGCCGAAGUUGGCAGAUCAUCAUACAGAGCAAUAUAUGAUGUCUUCUAUCACUCUGAAAAAAUGGGUGCUUUUGUUAAGGUUUUGCAUGCAGCUGGUAAUGAGGAGGUUGCCCAUUUGGAAGCAAUUUACGAACUUUCGGGAGAAAAGUCCUGCACUAAAUUCUUGGCGGAGAUUCCUGGCUACAUUCAGCCAGUUAAAGUUGAUGCCGAUAUUGAACAAGAAGCAGAAGGUCGCUAUACACUGAAAUCCGCCAUCACAUAUGGACAACGUACAGUACUUGAAGUUAGUGGGCCGAUUAUGGCUCGUUUCAGCUCCAAGAUUGCCAAGCUGCAAGCCAAUAUCAAGCUCAGGGCAAUGGCAAGUGAACCCUACAUCAUUGGUGCCAAUUUUGCAUUUGGCAACAAGAAGCAAAUGAUAGCCAUGGAAAUCAAAGAGCGAUCAGAACCUCUCAUUGGUCUUGAAUGGAAAAUGGUCCGAGAAAGUUCCGAGAAAACCACUGUUGGCAUAGUGUUUGUGCUCCCUGCCCUUAUCGAGAACAAGAUCGACGCUGAAAUUACUGACGGACUUAUCCAUGUUAGUUUCAACAACUUGGUUCUACCCAAGACCUCAUCCCGCCGUCGGGUUAAAGGAUUCGCUGAUGUUAGUAUUGCAGAGAAAAAGGCAAAUGUAGAAUUUUCUUGGGACCGCCGAUAAUGCUCCUGAAAAUAAUUCUUGGUGUUUUGAUGCCAAGCCUUAUCAGCGUCCUGCCAUGCCUGGGACAAUGCUGAGAUCCACGGGAAUAUUGUCAUUGCUGGAGAGCCUUAACCACGGAACCACCCAAACUGUUCUCUGACUGCCGCAAAUUCUGGUAGAGCUAUGGAAGGGGAACAAUGGUUCAGUUGAUCCUGACAACUCCUGCCCAGAAAGGAACGAUUGUACUUGGGAGCCUCCUGUGAUGUCACUGCAGGACCUACGACUAAAGUCAUUUCCAACUGGUCGAAUACAAGAACAUGAAGAUAGGAAACAAAUAUGCAAGGGUGAUUGCCUUGGAGAGCUUGGUGGCCCACAUAAUUAUAGCCGUAGAAGCCAAGUACUAACUUCCAAACAACGCUGGAACAAGCAAAAUAAAGCUAGAACAGCACAAAGCAAACAUCACUGACGACCAGAAGAAACAUGUUGUGGCAUUCAUGGUAGAGGCUGAUGCUCCAGUACUGAAGACACCUGCCACGAUUGCAUUCCCAUUACGUUGCACAAUACAACCAAAUGCUUUGUUGAUUCUGCAAGAAUCGAAAGAAAUGCUGCUCUCCUUUCUCACUGGGUUUUGAAUGGAAUGGUGCAGGUUACGUCCUGCGAGGAGGAAUUGAAACUGUUGAAGCUUGGUUUUGGAUAUGAAAGCCAUCAUUGAAGUUUUGAAGAAGUGUUCAUUUGCCGUUGCUAUUCUCGAGGAGAAAGUUUGCAACCUUAAUGUCCACAGACAUCCCAAUACCAGUGUAACCGUUUCACAAUGCCAUCCACCCACCUCGUACACCAUGCAGGAUGAGCACUCCAACCCGCACCAUGGAAGGAAGAGCUAAACUAUCACCGAAGGGAAUCUGAAUCAAGUUCUAACCCCAAUAAUGGCAAAACUGAAUCACUACGAAUUGAUACAAAGGGCCAACCACGAGGGAAGGUGGGGACGACAUGCGUCCCAAGCUGAAUUCAAAUAACCAUCCAGUGCUUCCUAAGCCCAUCAUGGCCGCUGUUCAGUACACAGUAGCCGAAGAAACAACGAAGGGAACAAUUGAAUUGGACAUUUUCCCAGAAGAAGCGGAUAAAAUUACUGGUACAUUGGAAACUCAUAGAAUAUCUGAAAAUGCUAUCAGAGCAGAAAGCCUUCUUGACUGGAAGGAUGUUGAAAGUGACCCCUAAGGCAAUUAUCACUGCUGCUUAUGGACCAGAGACAGUUUUGCUUUGUGGAUGUAUGUUGCCCAAGACCCUGUCCAUCUGCCAGUCACCAAUCUUCGCAUUGCCUGCCAAGUAUGACAAGACUGCAGCUCACAAUGCAGCUUCCUACAUUCACAUAAAGAUGGAAGAGCGACCUGUCUUUGAAAUCACUGCAGUGACAGAACCUGAGGAAGCAGCCACCUGCAAUGGCAUCAGAAUGAAGGCUGUUGCAUAUGCAGCAACUUUUGGAAAGUACAACAUUUUCUCCAAGAUGUGCAGACCUGCCUUCAUUGAGGUGACCGCAAUGCGACCUGGUGCAGCAAAGGAAUACAUUGCCAAGCUUGGCCUCCGAUAUCCUGACACUGCUGAAGCAGGUGUAUAUGUGGCGAGCGGCAGAGCUGGAGAGACUCGCGGUGUUGCUGUUGCUGCUGUGAAGUUGGCUUCACCCACAAUGCUUAAGGUCGAGAUGGCUUAUGAACCACAAGAAGCAGAAGCAAUAAUCAACGAAAUGACCGAAGAGUAUGAGAAGAUUGCCGCAUCAUUCACGUCUGUUAUAAUGGAGGUUGUCCAGUUCCUCAAGGAAGAAGCUGCUGCAAAGGGUAUUCAUUUCCCUUCAUCUCAGUUAGUCAACCUACUGGGAGCUGCUAAGGAGGAAAUUGAAGAGAUCUAUCGAGAUAUUGUCUCUGAGGCAAGAAUUUUUGAUACCGAAAUCCUUGGUGAUAUUCUGGAAAGUCCUGUGGUGUCCUUCAUAUCACGGGUCUACUUCGGUGUGUGGUCGGAGAUGAUUCAUCUUCAACACCAUCUUUCUUUAAACCUCAUCCAGACGAUAGAGAGAUUCCAGGAAGAAUUAGCAAGCAUUUCUGAAAUCGUAAUGGAAGUUGUGAUGACAGCAGCACGAAUGGCAGAAGCUGGAGAAGUACCCGAAGUAGUGUUUGAUGCGCUUGAAGAAAUCAAGGCCACCAAAGUUUUCAGGGUUGUGAAGAGGGAAGUGGACGCAGUUUUAGAAGAAUAUCCGGAGGAGUAUGAAGCUGUUAAACACAUUGUUGAUAAUGUGGUGGCAAUGCUCAAGCGAGAUGUUGGCAUUGUUCGUGAGAGGCUCAUGGAGAUUCCAGCUGUUGUGCAAAUCAUCGACUACACUAUGUAUCACUUCCAUUCGGAACGUGCAUUUGCUGCAGAAGCAGAAAAGAUCGUCAGCCUGAUGCUUAACGAACUUCUUUUCGUCUCAAUGGAAAGAGAAGGCAACGGUAUUGCAGUCCAAAUUCCCCUCCACCGACCCUUGUAUUCUCUAACGCAAGUGGCCCAAGAAGCAGUGCCCAAUCCUGUCACAAUGCUUGAGAACCUGAUAUUUGCAUACGUUGAAUACAUCCCCAUCCCUGUCAGCGACGCAAUCUGGGCCUACUACAACUUCGUACCACGCUACAUAACGGACGUGCUGCCACCCUAUCCACGAACAGCCACGGUGGUUGGCGGCACCGAGAUCCUCACCUUCAGCGGCCAUGUGGUGCGAGCACCUCGCUCGCCGUGCAAGGUUGUUCUGGCUGCUCACGGCUCCCACCGCCUCAUGAUGUCCCACCCACAAGCCUCAGCCCCGGCACAGCUUGAACUGAAGACACCAGCAGCCACCGUCAUGAUCAAGCCUGACUUUGAAGUCGUGGUUAAUGGCCAACCCCUCGCGGGAUCCCAGCAAACUAUCGGAAACGUCAGGAUUGUGAACACAGCCAAGUACAUUGAGGUGGGAUGUCCCCUAAUGAAGGUCGUCGUUUCCAAGGCAGGCGAGGCCAUAGCUGUUGAGGCUUCAGGUUGGGUGUUUGGACGUGUAGCAGGGCUACUGGGUCCCAACAAUGGAGAAAUCGCCGAUGACCUUCUCAUGCCCAGCGGUGCAGCAGCCUCCAACCCCCGCGAUUUGAUAGCUGCUUGGCAGGAGGACCAACAGUGCUCCACCCCUGAGGUUCCUCGUGCAGAGACCUCAGUAGCUCGCCUGAUUCAGUGUGAAGCAUUGCUGGGGAUUCGCUCCAGGUGUAACCCAGUGGUUCACCCACAGCCAUUCAUUAAGAUGUGUCACGCUGCCCACAAGCCUUGCGAUGCCGCCCAAGCUUACAGAACCAUUUGUUCUCUGAGAGGAGUUGAAGAAGUUUUCCCUUUGGCAUGUUAACAACACCUGUUGACAUGUUUACAUAGCCUAAAUGUUGACGACUCAUUCAGAUUUUGGAUAUGGCUAUAGAUGUUAAUGUAUUUUUUGUUACGUGAAUGCAUCAUAAAAUAUACAAAAAAUAGAAUUUCAAUAAAAUUGCAGCCAACAAUA